rnacentral:rRNA from 1 species
CUGAGCCCCAGCUUGCUGGGGUGGAUGAGUGGCGAACGGGUGAGUAACACGUGAGUAACCUUCCCUUGACUCUGGGAUAAGCCUGGGAAACCGGGUCUAAUACCGGAUGCGACCGUCCACCGCAUGGUGGGGGGUGGAAAGAUUUAUCGGUCUUGGAUGGACUCGCGGCCUAUCAGCUUGUUGGUGGGGUAAUGGCCCACCAAGGCGACGACGGGUAGCCGGCCUGAGAGGGUGACCGGCCACACUGGGACUGAGACACGGCCCAGACUCCUACGGGAGGCAGCAGUGGGGAAUAUUGCACAAUGGGCGCAAGCCUGAUGCAGCGACGCCGCGUGAGGGAUGACGGCCUUCGGGUUGUAAACCUCUUUCAGUAGGGAAGAAGCGAAAGUGACGGUACCUGCAGAAGAAGCGCCGGCUAACUACGUGCCAGCAGCCGCGGUAAUACGUAGGGCGCGAGCGUUAUCCGGAAUUAUUGGGCGUAAAGAGCUCGUAGGCGGUUUGUCGCGUCUGCCGUGAAAGUCCGGGGCUUAACCCCGGAUCUGCGGUGGGUACGGGCAGACUGGAGUGCAGUAGGGGAGACUGGAAUUCCUGGUGUAGCGGUGAAAUGCGCAGAUAUCAGGAGGAACACCGAUGGCGAAGGCAGGUCUCUGGGCUGUUACUGACGCUGAGGAGCGAAAGCAUGGGGAGCGAACAGGAUUAG